CCAGAAAUGAUUUCCAUAAGAAGAAUCCCAAAGCUGUAUACAUCACUUUUCUUAUUAAAGCUUCCUGAUGCAUAAGCCUCAGGAUCCAGGUAACCGAAUGUGCCAGCAGGACGAGUUGUUAUAUGUGAAACACUUUCAUUUGCGAAAGCUCUUGAUAGCCCAAAAUCAGCUAUCUUUGCUUGCAAUUUUUCAUUUAAUAAGAUGUUGGAAGUCUUUAAAUCCCUGUGGAUUAUAGGUGGCUUGCAACCAUUAUGUAGAUACUCCAAUCCCUGUGCUGCAUCUGCUGCAAUAUGUAGUCUCUCAUCCCAAUUUAAAGUGCUUCCACUUGACUCUGAUAAAUGCUCUCGCAAAUUUCCAUUAACCAUGUACUCAUAAAUCAGUGCCUUAUUAUGAUGGUCAUCACAGUAGCCAAUUAGAGAAACCAAGUUCCUAUGAUGAACAAUCAUCAAGAGUUGUGCCUCAGCUUGAAAUUCCUUAUAGCCUUGCCUUGAAUAUUGAGAGAGCAAUUUGACAGCAACUUGAGUGUUAUCUUUCAGAGCCCCAAAGUAAACUUUUCCAAACCCUCCUUCUCCAAUGAUGGUUUUAAAGUUGUCAGUAAUACUAACAAUCUCUGAAUAACUAAAGGACCGAUUCUUUGAAAUUACUCUUCCUUCCUUCUCAGAUUGUGAUGUUGCUUUUUGUCUUUUCAUUCUCCAAAAGACAAAUAUACUGCUGAGGAUGAGAAGCACCAUAAUUGUUGUAACAGAUGCAACAACCGGAAGAAGAAAAUUUUGCUUCUUUUUCUCACAGGAAUCUGUCUGGCAAAGUUGUGGAUUUCCGUUCAAACUCAUCUGCAAUAGUCCAUCGUUAGAUUUUUGGACAAGAGAUUGAGGAAUUGAACCAGUAAGCCUAUUUCCGGUUAAAUUUAGAACAGCUAAAUUUGGCAGUUGUGCUAAAAA
rnacentral:misc_RNA from 1 species